UACCCCUGGCAAUGGGCAAAGAGACACCUUGGUGUUGUUCUUCUGUCAGUCAGGGGACGGCAGAGCGGAUAGCAUCCUUCGUUCAUCCUAGCCUGAUGCCUGGCUUGGUGGCCAAAGCUGUCUUAUGUCUAGGACUCAGAA
ensembl:snoRNA LOC120094479 small nucleolar RNA SNORA48